AUGAGGGAUGUUGCUUAUAAACCAGAGGAAACAUUGACCAAGACACAUAAAUGUGAGUCAGAUGCUGGUGCUGAUGUUGUUGGAGUUUGUGAAAGGUUAUGGGAUCAGAACGGUCACGUAGUUGAGCAUACAGAGCCGGUUUGCUGUCCAUGUGGGCCUAAUCGCCGUGUUGGUUCGUCAUGCGGAUCAAUUUUUGAUAAAAUGAUUAAAGGCAAAGCUAAUACGGCUCACUGUGUACGUUUUCCAGGUGAUUGGUUUCAUGUUUUUGGAAUUAAGAGAAGUUCACUUGGGUUCAGCAUCAGAGUACAAGUAAAGAAAGGCUCUUCUGUAACGGAGGUUAUUGUUAGUCCAGAGAAUAGUACAGUUGUUUCUAAAGAUAACUUUCUGAGGGUAAAUCUCAUUGGUGACUAUGUUCGUUAUACAAGUAUCCCAGCAUUUGAAGACUUCUAUCUUGUGACUCCACGGAAGGGUGGUGGUGACGGUCAACCACAAGUCCUUGGCGACGAGUUCUCCAGGUGGAUGCUGUUGGAGAGAGUCCGGUUUACAUUAGAUGGUCUUGAGUGCAACAAGAUUGGUGUUGGGUAUGAAGCUUACAGAAACCAGCCUAACCUCUGUGGAUCACCAUUUGGGAGCUGCUUGUACAAUCAGCUUUGGAAUUUCAAGGAGUCUGACGACAAUCGAAUAAACAGAAACCAAGAGCCCCAGUAUAUUGUGCAGGGAAGAUUUGAUAGGAUCAACCAACACCCGAAUGCAGGAGCUCAUUCAUUCUCUAUUGGAAUCACAGAAAGUCUGAAUACUAAUUUGCUGAUAGAGCUGAGUGCUGAUGAUAUAAAUUAUGUAUACCAGAGGAGUCCAGGGAAAAUAAUUGACAUUAAUGUCCCUACAUUUGAAGCCUUAAGCCAAGUUGGUACUGCCAAGGUCACAAUUAAGAACAUUGGCAAACUGGAAGCUUCAUAUAGCUUGACGUUCGUCUGCUUAAGUGGCAUCAGUUAUGUGGAGGAGCAAUUCUUCAUCAUGAAACCUGGCCAAGUGCUUAUCCGCUUAUUCUAUUUGCGUUCCUCAUCAGACCAAGCAUCAAAAUAUCGCUGCUCGGCUAUUUUGAAAGGGUCAGAUUUCAGUGAACUUGACAGAGCAGAGUGCCAGUUCUCUACUACAGCCACAGUUCUUGACAAUGGAACACAGAUCGGCCCACCGAAGCAGCAUAAGAAGGGUGGCAUCAGGGGUUUCAUCGAAGCCAUCGAAACCUUGUGGCGCAACACAUGGGGCAGCGUGAUCGAUUUCUUCACCGGCAGAUCAUGCAGAAAAAAGUGCACGAGCUUCUUGGACCUAAGCUGCCACAUCCAGUACAUAUGCAUCGGCUGGCUCGUCAUGUUCGGCCUGCUGCUCACCACACUACCCGCUGUCGCGGUGCUGCUGUGGCUGCUCCACCAGAAGGGCAUGUUCGACCCGCUGUACGACUGCUGGGAGGACGUGUUCGGGCCGCCGGAGGCCGCGCACCCAAAGCACCGGGGAGGCCCAGGCCACCACACGCACGCCCACGCCCACGCCCACCACCACCACCACCACAGUAAGCACCCGCACGCGCACAAGAAGCGCAGCAGCGGGGCGCCCGGCCAGCAUCACCACCACGUUCUCCAUAGGCACGCGGCAGCCGACGGUGGCGCUUGUGGCCCACACCGCCGCCGCCCCGGUUGUGCCGGUUCCCCCCAAAGCCUAUUGUCUUACAGGCACAAGCACCACCGCCACGGCAAGGCGCCGCAGAGGGAGAGGGAUGACGGCCGCGGCGCGGAGUACAAGGAACAGCGUGGGCACCAUGAGAGGCACGGCGGGCGCGAGGGCCGCCACCACUCCCGGGCGGCGUAG
rnacentral:rRNA from 1 species